CCUACGGGACGCAGCAGUGAGGAAUAUUGGUCAAUGGCCGCAGGGCUGAACCAGCCAAGUCGCGUGAGGGAUGACGGCCCUAUGGGUUGUAAACCUCUUUUGUCGGAGAACAAAACCCGGGACGUGUCCCGGACUGCGUGUAUCCGAAGAAAAAGCAUCGGCUAACUCCGUGCCAGCAGCCGCGGUAAUACGGAGGAUGCGAGCGUUAUCCGGAUUUAUUGGGUUUAAAGGGUGCGUAGGCGGUCCGUUAAGUCAGCGGUAAAAUUGCGGGGCUCAACCCCGUCGAGCCGUUGAAACUGGCAGAC
rnacentral:rRNA from 1 species